AAAAAAUAAAAAAUAAAAAAAAUAAAGAGGGGAAAUACUAAUUCUUCUGAGAGUAAAUAACAACGAUUUUUUCUUAAUGCGUAUUUUUUUUUUUAAAUCAAUAAUUAACACAAUGAGCACUCCUUAUAAACUGGUGGACUGUCUUAACAACCCAUCAGAAGUAUUUUCUCUGUAGACUGUAGGUUUAUAUACACAUAGCUGUUAUUGAUUAAGUGUAAGGCUGUAUUCCUUUUAACACCGAAAACUUUUGUUUCAUGAAUCUUUUUUGAAUCUCAAACACAUGUGAACAGCACACUGGUGUAUAAAUUUUGUAGGUGAUAGUCAAUAAAAGGAUGUCCCAGAU
rnacentral:misc_RNA from 1 species